UACGGAGGAUCCGAGCGUUAUCCGGAUUUAUUGGGUUUAAAGGGAGCGUAGGCGGGUUGUUAAGUCAGUUGUGAAAGUUUGCGGCUCAACCGUAAAAUUGCAGUUGAUACUGGCAUCCUUGAGUACAGUAGAGGUAUGCGGAAUUCGUGGUGUAGCGGUGAAAUGCUUAGAUAUCACGAAGAACUCCGAUUGCGAAGGCAGCCUGCUGGACUGUAACUGACGCUGAUGCUCGAAAGUGUGGGUAUCAAACAGG
rnacentral:rRNA from 1 species